GUAAAAGCUCGUAGUUGGAUUUCUGUCGAAAACGGCCGGUCCGCACUAUGUGCGGGUAGCUGGUUCGGUUUUGGCAGCCUCAUGAAGAAAGUAACGGUGCUUGAUUGCGUGGUGCGGAAUUCAUGACUUUUACUUUGAGGAAAUUAAAGUGUUCACGGCAGGCAAGCGCCUUGAAUAUAUUAGCAUGGAAUAAUAAUAUAGGACCUUGGUCCCAUUUUGUUGGUUUCUGGAACUAAGGUAAUGAUUAAUAGGGAUAAUUGGGGGCAUUCGUAUUAACGCGUCAGAGGUGGAAUUCUUGGAUUGCGUUACGACGAACUACUGCGAAAGCAUUUGCCAAGGAUGUUUUCAUUGAUCAAGAACAAAAGUAUGGGGAUCAAAGAUGAUUAUAUACCGUCGUAGUCUAUACCAUAAACUAUGCCGACUACAGAUUGGAGGUCGUUCUUUUUAUGACUCCUUCAGCACCUUAUGAGAAAUCAAAGUCUUUGGGUUCCGGGGGGAGUAUGGUCGCAAGGCUGAAACUUAAAGGAAUUGACGGAAGGGCACCACCAGGAGUGGAGCCUGCGGCUUAAUUUGACUCAACACGGGGAAACUCACCAGGUCCAGACAUAAUAAGGAUUGACAGAUUGAUAGCUCUUUCUUGAUUCUAUGGGUGGUGGUGCAUGGCCGUUCUUACUUGGUGGAGUGAUUUGUCUGGUUAAUUCCGUUAACG
rnacentral:rRNA from 1 species